GACGUAGGUGGCGAACGUUAUCCGGAAUCAUUGGGCGUAAAGGGCGCGUAGGCGGUUUGGACAGUCAGGCGUGAAAUUCCCGGGCUUAACCUGGGGGCUGCGCUUGAUACAUCCAGGCUUGAGUGGGGAAGAGGGUCGUGGAAUUCCCAGUGUAGAGGUGAAAUUCGUAGAUAUUGGGAAGAACACCGGUGGCGAAGGCGGCGACCUGGUCCUUUACUGACGCUGAGGCGCGAAAGCGUGGGGAGCAAACAGG
rnacentral:rRNA from 1 species